UUUGUAGUUAUUUUUAUUAAUUAUUUAUGCUUCAGUCUUGGUACGCGCAUGCCCUUUCGCCCUUCACCCUUCACCUUGCCGUGACCUCCAUACAUCUCACUCUCGCCCUUCACCCUGCCCUGACCUCCACAAGCUCGUCGUGGACAUUUCCCAACCUGUGCUCUGACCCGUCUCCGGUGAAGGGUAGGGUUUUUGUGAGAACGAAAACACCUAACCCUAAUAUUGUUGCUGCUCCAAGAGUGGUGGGAUUCGGAAAGAAGCGUGGACCAAACUCUAUGUGUAGUGGUGGGAUUCUAUUUUGCUCAUCUCUUACACCAGCAACACAUUCCCCACAAUGUCUCCAUCAAUGUCAUUGAAACAUGAUCCUAAUCCUUUGGGGAGCUGCUACUAAUGCAGAAACUAGAGGAAGUUGGAAGCUCUGUCAAGGCUCGGAUAAAGAAGAUAAUGCAAGCUGAUGAGGAUGUUGGAAAGAUAGCACUCGCUGUGCCUGUUUUAGUUUCUAAAGCUCUAGAACUAUUUUUGCAAGAUCUUUGUGACCGCACUUAUGAAAUAACUCUUCAAAGAGGAGCAAAGACCAUGAAUUCAUUGCAUUUUUUAUUGCUUACGAUUUGGAAUAGUGACAAGUAAAGACAAAUCACAACUCACGGUCAUCCAAUUCCAAGAAUAGAGGUAUCGACUGUUACG